UUUUGUAUUUUUAGUAGAGAUGGGGUUUCUCCAUGUUGGUCAGGCUGGUCUCGAACUCCCGACCUCAGUUGAUCUGCCCUCCUCAGCCUCCUAAAAUGCUGGGAUUACAGAUGUGAGCCACCGUGCCCAGCCAAUGUUUAUCAACAUUCUUUUGACUCCAUCACAUCUGAGGGAUAUGGUACAUAUAUCCACCAGAAACAGUGAAUCAUUAAGGCAUUGAUUCUAACAUGUGUGGGACAGAAUUGGCAAUUGAUAUGUCAGUUUCUUCCUUAAAACAAUAACAAUAUGUUCUCCCCUUUUAAAUUUUCUCUAGGCCAUACUGGAGAUGUUACUAUUCAAACACAGAUGCAGUCAUUUAUGUAGUAGACAGUUGUGACCGAGACCGAAUUGGCAUUUCCAAAUCAGAGUUAGUUGCCAUGUUGGAGGAAGAAGAGCUGAGAAAAGCCAUUUUAGUGGUGUUUGCAAAUAAACAGGACAUGGAACAGGCCAUGACUUCCUCAGAGAUGGCAAAUUCACUUGGGUUACCUGCCUUGAAGGACCGAAAAUGGCAGAUAUUCAAAACGUCAGCAACCAAAGGCACCGGCCUUGAUGAGGCAAUGGAAUGGUUAGUUGAAACAUUAAAAAGCAGACAGUAAUUCAGUCCAUUCUUCUCCCCUGAAAUGAAGACUACAUCACCUCUCUCCCUUUGGAAACAGUCAAGUGUACUUCACACUACUAGAUGUUAAAACUAUAUGAUUAUUGGCAUAUACUGACUGACUGCAAUAUUUG
rnacentral:lncRNA from 10 species